GACAGAGGGUGCAAACGUUGUUCGGAAUUACUGGGCGUAAAGCGCGUGUAGGCGGCCUGGCAAGUCGGGUGUGAAAGCCCACGGCUCAACCGUGGAAGUGCACUCGAAACUGCCGGACUAGAGUCCUGGAGAGGAAGAUGGAAUACUUGGUGUAGAGGUGAAAUUCGUAGAUAUCAAGUGGAACACCGGUGGCGAAGGCGGUCUUCUGGACAGUGACUGACGCUGAGACGCGAAAGCGUGGGGAGCAAACAGG
rnacentral:misc_RNA from 1 species